UCUUAUGAAUGAGCAAAGAAAGUGGUUUCUUGAAAUAAAAUCUACUCCUGGUGAAGGUGCUGUGAA
rnacentral:pre_miRNA from 1 species